CGCUCACGACCCCUGGUCUCUCGUUCGCUCGCAUCCUCGCCUGGCGCUGGCGGCGUCUCUCCAUGGUCUCCCUUCCCGACCUUUCCUCUCUCUCACGAUCUGCGGACGCAAACCUCGAUCUCCAGUAUGCUUCUCUAGAUGUCGACUUUCAGCGACGGCGCCCACCGCAAGGCUUGGUCAACCCCUCCCACUAGCAGAUCCUAGGUGUCUUCUCCGACCACGACCUCAACCUUGGGCGGAUCCUAGGUCCGGCGCCAGCACCGGCUCAUCCAGCGGACCAGAAGAACACCAAGAAGAGUGCGCCGUCCAACACGCGGAAGGCUUCUUGUGCAAAGAAGGCACCGGGAUGGUUGUUGCAUGUUGAUCCAGAGAACAAUGUCAUACAAGAUAAAAUUGUCGCUCCUGCUGUUUCAUUUAGAAGAAGUCAUCUUCAUAGCUGCUCCCAACAUCUUAGGCUUGGCAACACAACUGCCAAUUGGCCAAAAACAACUCUUGCUAAUAUGCCAAAAUUCACACCUUUAAUCAUCACACCUUACUUGUUUCCUUUAAGUAGAUCAAAGGCAAAGUCAAGGAACCUUCCAUGAGUGCCUUUGGUCGGGUAAAUAAGUAGAAACAAACGGAUAACAAGAGGUACAAGACGAGUGAUGCUCAGCAAAAGAGGGUGCUGGAGAAACCAAAGAUGGAUCAAGGAUGGCAAGCAGCAAAAAGACACUUAGAUAUGGGUUAUAAAGGUGCCAUAUUUUUAUCUACUUAAUCCUCUUCCAUCUCAUUUUGUUAAUUUAUUCAUGUACCCUUCUGCUCCUUUGAUAAGGAUGGCAUCAAUGCUUGUUUUUUUUUUGCGGUGUUAGAGCAUCUCAAACAGGCGCGCCAAAAGGCGCGCGCGCGGUAAAUUGGCUUUUUAGCGCGUGCGGCCCGGUUUCGCGCGCUUCAGCGGUGGCGGCAAACUAGCGCGCGCGGGAAACGAUUGCGCGCGCGCGGAAAAAAGCGUCCGCUCGCGCGGUAGAUUUGGCGCGCCGCUUCGCGCACGCCUAUAAAAUUGCAGCGCCCUCUGCCGCUCUCUCUCGCUCUCUCCACUGCUUUCUCUUCUCGCCGCCGACACGCCACCACCGCGCCACCAUGCCGCCUCGCCGCCGGGGAGGUUCGGGCUACCGCGGCGUUCGCGUGCGUCCGUCCGACACCUAUUCCGCCUCGAUUCAGUCGGGCGGCGGCGUGCGCCUCAGCCUCGGAACCUUCAACACCGCCCAGGAUGGCGCCCGCGCAUACGAUGCUGCGGCGUGGCGCCUCCGGCGGUCGCGUUGGGACAUGAACUUCACCGACGUGGCGACGCGGGAGCGGGCACAGGAGUUGGUGCCUUUCCCGCAGCUUAACACUGACAAGGAUCGUCGCAAACACCGGAGGCAGGAGCGCCGUCUUAGCCUGGCCGAGAUGGACGAGGGAGCCAUGGCGCUGUGGAGGCAAUGCUUCCUGCAAGACAUCAUCAACGAGGAACAGUUCUUCACCGAGAGGAGGGCGGAGAGGGAGGAGAGAAGGAAGGAGCGAGCCGCCUAUCGCGAGGACAAGCGAACGCGGAAGGCGGUCGCUAAAUACAACAUGGCGCUA